rnacentral:lncRNA from 1 species
AGAAAUAAUAAAUAUCGAAAGUUGGGAGUUAAACAGCUCGGGUUCGUAACUCACGGGUAUUUUGACGGGGUUAACACCGGCUUAAAGCUGAAAGGGGUUUAGUGUGGCAUGAAUUUAAUCAUGCUUGAAGGUUAUGGAAAUGAUAGAAAUUAUAUGAAAAAGGUAGUGGAAAUGGAUAGGAAAAAUUGCAAAGAGAAUUAGACAAAUUUUGUAAAAAGAAGACAAAAUAAUCUAAUGCUCAAUUGAAUUAAGAAAAAGAAAA